UUACCUACCGUUGGAACCGCGAUGCCCCGUUCCCUGGCCGCGGCCGCUUCUCCAGGACCCGCGGCGACGGCAAGAGGGCGAGAACUGAGGCCCCAAGUGGCUCCGCGGCCGAGAAGCCUCUUCCUGGGGCGGCCGCUGACGGGAGGUUAAAGCUACGGCUGUGGCGCGGGGCCAGCCCGCAGGUGGCAGUAAAGUGUUUUGUCCAAACUAAAUUACAACGACUGCUUCCCAAUAGAUGGAAGCAAAGCGUCUGGACGAAGGAGAGCUUUUUUCUCAUGGUGCUGCUGUGUUAGCCUAGUGACAGCUCUGUAUGGCCCACACCUGGUCCACAGGAAGCUCUCAGGCACCUCUUGCCCGAACAAACUUGGGAGUACAGGCUAAUCCCAGUGCAGAUUCAACAUUCCUCUACUCUGCUGCCAAAACAGCCGCCAGCCUGUGGGAGUCAGACACAGGCCCACGGUGCCCCUCAGACUGCAGGAGGUACAAGUCAAGUGCUCUGAGCAGAUCCAUUGAAGGCCCACUCCCUCGACUUGAAGUAAAAGGCAGGCAGGCACCUGUGGUAAGAAUCACAGCUCACCAGCAACAGUCUCCAAAGACAUUGUCCUCAAUAAUUCUGGUUUGGCCUUUUAUAACUAAAUAACUGAGUAUUUAAUCUACCUGCUUUGUCUAAAUCCUCUGAAAUUUCUAGAGGGGGUCUAUCUCAGAAAUUACUUUAGUUUUUUGGUGGAUGGAGGGAAGAAGAUGGUUUCUUUUAUAAUAAUCUUGUUGCUUCAGUUAAAACAGUGGUUCUCAACUGCGACAAUUUUGGGGGACCAUGUGUGCAGACAUUUUUGGUUUUUUUUUAAACUUUUUUUUUCCUUCUGAAUUCAGGAUCUGCUGAAUACAGACAUUUUUGAUUGUCACCACUGGAGAGGUGCUAUUGGCUGGUGGGAGAAGGUCAAGGAUGCUGGUAAACAUCCUUUACGGCACAGGACAGCCCCUACAGCAAAGAACAGCAAUUCUGUUUGUUACAGAGAUGAGAGAAUACCUCACUAAAAGAAUACUUCAAAAUUACAUCACUUUUUCUUCUUUUUUUCCUACAAAUUCUUUACCUGUAGAUGGAAACGUCACAUUUCAAUAUAUCAAUAGAGUCAAAAAUAGCAUUUGCAAUAGCUAUUUGGCCAGGAUGAGAAGUGACUGGUAUAGACCAAUCCUUUGUGUUUCCAAGACUCCUUCUGGAGAUGAGGCCAUGCCAGGAAAAUUACUACUUGAGAUAAAAUUGUUAUUUAUUUGCAAGAUGACUUUUAAGCCUGGAAAACAAGCAUUCUAUCCCAGCUUAUCUGAACAGAGGCAUUAUGCCUCUCAGAAGUAAGGUCAUGAGUCACAUCACUGUGGAAGGAAUAUAUCUUUGCUACAACCUGGACUGCAUUCUAGAUGCCAGGGAGGACCUCAGCAUAUCUGCCUCCCCAAGGUCACCAGUGUCACUGGAAUGAGACUUGAAGUCAGGAAGUAGCUGUCUCUGCAGUUACUUUACAGAUGGCUAAUAAUGCCCUCAUUAUUCACAGAGAAUGCAAAUGGGUUCUUCCAUCCUUUACAUGAGUUUGACUGAAUUCAUCUCUUCCAGAUGUAGCAGGAUGUUGAGCCCUUCCCUUGCACCAUCAGUAAGGAAACUUUUAAUCAGGUGUUUUCCUUACCGUUACUGAUCUCCCUGAGCAAGGCUGUUUGAGUACUGGGAUAUAGAUUAACUUGAGUUCAGUCAAGGCUGCCUUGUCUUUCUUAAUACGAUGUUAAUAAGAAACGAGCCACCCUAGCCAGAAAAGCCAAAAAGAUAUAUUCUAUCCCCACCAAUUCUAUCACUUAAAAGUAAAAUAGAUAAAACAAACAUUCCAAGUUCCAGUUCUAGCCCUGUUACUAGCCUUUUGACUCUGGUCAAGUUACUUAACUUAGUUGUACCUUAGAUUCCCCAUUAGUCAAAUAGGGAAACAGACUUAAAUGAAUUGGUAUGCAUAAAAGUGCUUUAUUAGCCAUAUACAAUUUUUUCAGUUCCCUCUCCUAUACUGCAUUCAGAGGCCUAGAGAACAACCUGAAAAUGUCUUGCUUUCAUAUCUGGAUUUAUUGCCAGGAAUGAGGCCCAGUGUGAACACCUUUCUUGACAGAAAUUGCCAAAUCUUUGUCUAUCUAUUUGUAAAUGAAAACCAAGAACCACUAAGAAUUCCCCCAAACUCUCGGUGCUGGUUUUAAGAUCUUCUGAGCCUUGUAAGUUACAGUAAAUACAAGCACAUCUCUUCCCCAAUUAGAAGCAUAUUUACACUGCCCAUUUGUAGAACAAGACAUGACUGUAAAUACAGAUAGGAAGCCAUCAUUACAUGCAGUCUUGUGUGCAGGGAAAAACAAGUGCAUAUGGAGAUGAGAUUGUGACUACUCUUGAUUCUCACAGAGCAGUAAAAUGCUAUCAAAUUCAGUCAAACUCAGCUAAUGAAUUUUCUCCUUGAGGUAGUCUCCUCUACUGGGAAGAAAGGAAGAACUAAAAACACAUCAAAUUUAAAUCCUCUGGUAAAAGAGAAGCAACUCACCAUUAGAGAGAUGUAUUGCUGGCUCUUCCAAGAAAUGGAGUGGAAAUCUUUCUGUGCCACUUUGCCCAGGACCAUUGUGCCAGUGUGCAAGAAUGUGUGUUUUUCAUAAACAGAAAAAUAUCACUAGCUGCAAAGAGAAGAAACUGUUCCAGGGUGUACAAAUCCCACGCCAACCUCCAAAAUAAUGGCAAAUACUGUUCUGAUCUUAGCAACCCAGAAUAACCUUUGUGCCAUUUAUUUAUUCAACACAUAUUUCUUGGGCAGCUAUUAUGGGUCAGGCACUGUGCUAGGCGAUAUGAUCAUGAUCUCUGCCCUGGAAAAGCUUCAUCUUACAUAUCUCUGGAAUAAAAUAUUUUGGUGGAAUAGAA
rnacentral:lncRNA from 1 species